rnacentral:antisense_RNA from 1 species
AGUAACCAAAGAUGAUGGCAGGGUUUAAGGUAGGAUUAGUGAUAAUACGAACAUCACCGCCACCGGGUGCCCAAGUAUCAUAUACACCACCGAAGAACAUGGCUUUAAAUACGAGCAGUAAUGCACCAAUCCCUAAAAGGAUUAGGUGAUAACCGAUGAUAUUGGUCAUUUGGUUUUUAUCUUUCCA